rnacentral:tRNA from 1 species
ACUAUUUUGGCAGAAAAAAUGCAAUGAUUUUAGAAUUCAUAAAUAUAUAUAUUUAUGCAUAUAUAUGUAGUA